UGCGAUCUCAGUCAGGCACUCCUGAUUGGCCCAGGCCGGCGGCUGCAGUAGGAAACCCUGUGCAUUUCUUUCCCGGCGGCGGCGGUGGCAGCAGCAGCAGCCCCAACCAACAGCAGCAGCAGCCCCAACCAACAGCAGCAGCAGCCCCAACCAACAGCAGCGGCAGCCCCAACCAACAGCAGCGGCAUCUAUUUCAGGUCCCUUGGAAAGACCAGAUAAGCCAGAUGUGCCCAGAUUGUGGAUCUGUUAAUCUUCAAGCAGAGAGGAGCGGUGGCACACAGCUGAGAACCAGGUGUCAAGGUUCUUGAAAAGCAGCAUCAAGAACAGUACAUCUUCCAUCCGUGUCCUCAGCUGCUCUGUCAGAGCAAAGGACCUCCACAGGAAAAGUUUCUGCAGCACAGAGAGAGAAGAGUGGAAACACACCUCCAGUGACCCUCCUGGCAGGUCCCCCUCUUCUUACACCUAGGAUCUGCAAAGGCUGUGUGCCGUAUCUGUUGGAAUCUGAGUCACAUAGUGCCAGGGAAGAACAGAAGGAAGUCCUUCAAAAUCCAGGUGGUUACCAGGAUAAUAAAUUUUACCACAGGAAACUCAGGACACAUCUCUGGCGCUUUUCAGUCCAACGUGGCUUCCUUCCAACCCUGGCUGGAGUUGGCAGUCCAGAAACAUUAUUCUAGCCUGGGGACACAAGCCUGUUCUCUGGUCAUGACCAGCUCUGGCUGCACUGGCCAGUAGCAUCAUGCAAGACUGCCCCAAGCUGGACAGAGAAGCUUGUGGCAGUCCUAAGUACAGAUCUGUCAUGUAUUGUCCCCGUUUGCAACAGGAGACUGCAGCAGCUCUGGGUAGUUUGCAAGAGGCCCUUGGGGGCAUUGGUUUCGUUCUUGAGAGUGCUGGGUUAGGCAGAGUUGCCAAGGAGAGCCAGAAGCUUGUGCUCCCUGACACACACAGUGAGCUCCUUCUUGCUGAGAAGCAAACUAGCAGAAGUGAAGAGCCGGCCUGGAGAUGGAGAUCUCAUCCCCAAAACCAGUCUCCCUCCUGCUGAGUUCCCUGCUCUGGGUGCAGAGCCUGAUUCUCACUCCAGUGCUCAGGGAUUUUCAGUGGGGUGUGAAUUAAUGCCACAUGAAGUGUCCUGUCUUUCUCCUGAGCAGUGAAAUAGGAUCUUUAGCGUGAGUGAGAAUUGGCUCCAACGAUGCAGCAGCUGCAAAGUGAGUUCCCCUUUUAGCUGAAAUAGGUUGCAUUUUGACUAGUGCAUUUUUUUUGCUAUCCAUAUUUGCACUAGGAACUUAUAUCUAAAGAAUGUGUAUCUUCAGUGAUCAUCGGAACAGCUUCUUGGCCUGGAGGAAUCCUGCUUUUCUAACAGAGCUCCAACACAACUCUGUCAGCACCAAAAACCUGGAUGGAGAUAGGUGUCCUGGAAGGCUCUCUGACCUGUAAGGGUGCUUCAAAGCAGCGAGACACUUGCAGUUGUAAACCUGGUGCAUGUUUCAAAAGCCCAGAAACUGAGUGCUGGACUCUAAAAAUUCCAGGCUUCUUGCUUCGUACAGACUCAGCGCAGCGGGACUGUUCUUAGCACAGUGGGACUUCUAGGCCCUGGUUUCCGUCCUGAAUGACGUGAAGAGAUUAGAGCUUUGUAGGCUGGCUUUCCAACCCUGCAGGAACCAGAGCCAGGAAGAACAGCCAAACUCUGAAACUCUGUGCCCAGAGAAGAGCUCUACGUACAUGUUGGGAAUCGCCAAAGCCGAGAGCAGAUGACAAAAUCUCCCACCCUUAAAUAUAUUCUUUUCCAAAGCAAGAUGUGGUGGCCCCCUGUUUAUUUUCAUACUAUGAAAGCAAACGGGAACAUAGCCCAUAGCAGCACUACCUGUUGGUGUGUGCCAUCAUACUUCUGCCUAUCUAGUGUCCAUGUCUUUAUGAGCUUGAUCCUACAAAUCUUACCGUUGAAUUAAAUUGGGGAUUUUAUCUUUCAGUCCUGCUGAGACAGAGCUGCCCAUAUAACUAUCUAACUGGAAAAUGGUCUGGCUGACUGUGUUUCAUGGGAUUCUCUGGGCCUAUUACAGAU